GCCCCGUAAUCGGAAUGAGUACACUUUAAAUCCUUUAACAAGGAUCCAUUGGAGGGCAAGUCUGGUGCCAGCAGCCGCGGUAAUUCCAGCUCCAAUAGCGUAUAUUAAAGUUGUUGCGGUUAAAAAGCUCGUAGUUGGUUCUGCGUGCCGCGCUGUCGGUUCGCCGCCUGUCGGUGUAACUGGCAUGUCGCGGCAUGUCCUGUCGGUGGUGAACGGAGUCCACAAUGCUUCAAAGGCUUCAUAGCUGAUGUUAGCGUUGUGUGCAUUUCCGUUAACCGAUCUCUCCUACUUCGGUGCUCUUAAACGAGUGUCGAGGUAGGCCGACACGUUCACUUUGAACAAAUUAGAGUGCUUAAAGCAGGCUGAAAUAUCUGCCUGAAUAGUGGUGCAUGGAAUGAUAAAACAGGACCUCGGUUCUAUUUUGUUGGUUUUAGGAAUAUGAGGUAAUGAUCAAUGUGGACUGGCGGGGGCAUUCGUAUUGCGACGUUAGAGGUGAAAUUCUUGGAUCGUCGCAAGACGCACUAGAGCGAAAGCAUUUGCCAAGUAUGUCUUAAUUGAUCAAGAACGAAAGUUAGAGGUUCGAAGGCGAUCAGAUACCGCCCUAGUUCUAACCAUAAACGAUGCCAGCCAGCGAUCCGCCGAUGUUCCUUUAAUGACUCGGCGGGGAGCUUCUACCCGGGAAACCAAAGCUUUUGGGUUCCGGGGGAAGUAUGGUUGCAAAGCUGAAACUUAAAGGA
rnacentral:rRNA from 1 species